rnacentral:rRNA from 1 species
GACGAACGCUGGCGGCGUGCUUAACACAUGCAAGUCGAACGGAAAGGCUCCAGCUUGCUGGAGUACUCGAGUGGCGAACGGGUGAGUAACACGUGGGUGAUCUGCCCUGCACUUCGGGAUAAGCCUGGGAAACUGGGUCUAAUACCGGAUAGGACCGCACUUUGGUGUGUGUGGUGGAAAGGUUUUUCUGGUGUGGGAUGAGCUCGCGGCCUAUCAGUUUGUUGGUGGGGUAAUGGCCUACCAAGACGGCGACGGGUAGCCGGCCUGAGAGGGUGGACGGUCACAUUGGGACUGGGAUACGGCCCAGACUCCUACGGGAGGCAGCAGUGGGGAAUAUUGCACAAUGGGGGAAACCCUGAUGCAGCGACGCCGCGUGGGGGAUGAAGGCCUUCGGGUUGUAAACUCCUUUCGCUAGGGACGAAGCUUUUUGUGACGGUACCUGGAGAAGAAGCACCGGCUAACUACGUG